rnacentral:lncRNA from 1 species
CAGAGGCCCGCCCAGCGAUCUGAGCAUGUGUGGACGUCAAUCUUGCAGCCCCUCUUCCAGGCCCCCUCCCCAGCCUUGCAGGGCUCAGGUUACCCCUGGCCUUUCCUAAAGGUCACUCAUUCCUCUUGACGUUUGCAAAAGGGGAAUGUAAUCCUGGGGUGGGGGGAGACCCCUCAUCUGUAGCCCCUCCCUUGCUCCUCCCAAAGGGUGGAAUUAGAACAGGGACUGUUAUUGGGAGACAGAAAGUGGGGGAUAGUAGUUGACCUUUGGUAAGGGGGCAGGUGCCCAGGGCCAGAGGCUUCUGCUUCAGGCUGUAGUGGGCACUUGGCUGCCAGCCCAGUGUGAAGGGGGGAGGAUGGAGAGAAAGAG